GCUUCCUGUUGUCUGACUGACCUGCUUUACUCCAAACGAACGUAAAGGAAAUAGUCACAAUUACGAUGGCCACUAGAUUGUUUAAAAGUAAAGACAAUAAACAAGUAGCCUAGUCAUUUUCACGAAUAUCUUCUGUUUUCCUCGACCUCCUGUUGGAGCAACUAUUGCAUGCAGAUUUUCUCAGUACUUUGGUUGAAAAGACUUGGAAAUGUUCCCGCCAAUAUCAACACCACGUGCAGUGUGGAGUCAAACAGAGUCUCAGCAACGACUGACUACAAGCCGAUCAUUACAGGCCGUCUCUGAUAAGGAUCUUCCAUGUGAAUAAUGCACAAAGCCU
rnacentral:lncRNA from 1 species